UACGUAGGGUGCGAGCGUUGUCCGGAUUUAUUGGGCGUAAAGAGCGUGUAGGCGGCCAGGUAGGUCUGCUGUGAAAACUCGAGGCUCAACCUCGAGAUGUCGGCGGAAACCAUCUGGCUAGAGUCCGGAAGAGGAGAGUGGAAUUCCCGGUGUAGCGGUGAAAUGCGCAGAUAUCGGGAAGAACACCCGUGGCGAAGGCGGGCUCUCUGGACGGUACUG
rnacentral:rRNA from 1 species